ACGGGGGGAGCAAGCGUUGUCCGGAAUCAUUGGGCGUAAAGGGCGUGUAGGCGGUUAGGCAAGUCGAAUGUGAAAUCCCACGGCUCAACCGUGGAACGGCGUUCGAAACUGCCAUACUUGAGUGCGGGAGAGGAAUGAGGAAUUCCUGGUGUAGCGGUGGAAUGCGUAGAUAUCAGGAGGAACACCGGUGGCGAAGGCGGCCCACUGGACCAGCACUGACGCUGAGGCGCGAAAGCGUGGGUAGCAAACAG
rnacentral:rRNA from 1 species